ensembl:lncRNA
AUGAAGGAGAGGAUCAAGUGGCCAAAAAUGUCAGACACAAAGGCAUGGGCCACUCUUGAUCAGGAUCUGAACCAAAUCCUCGAAGUCACAACAACGGGCACUGUUGAGCGGAAAAUAAACACGCUCACAGAAAUCACGUACAAUCUAGCAAAGGAACGUUUCGGUACAGUAGAAAGAAAAGAAAACAUCAAGGCAAUGAAGCAAACAAACAGAAGAGAGAGGGAAAUUCUAAAUUUGAGGAAGGAGAUGAAGAGCCUAAACAAGAGAUACAAAGUGAGUAAUGCUGAGGAAAAAGAAGGGAUCAAGGAAAUUACAAGCAGCCUUCGAGAGCGCCUUAAAAGGCUUAGAAGGGUUGAAGGAACGCGGAAAUUGAGAAAGCAGAGAGAGAAAAGGAGGGCUCAGUUUAUAAAAGAUCCCUAUAACUUCACCAGAUCCCUACUGGGAGAAGCAAGAUCUGGGAGCCUGAGUAGCCCUAAGGAAGAGGUGGAGGCAUUUCUCAAAGAGACACAUAGUGAUCCGUACAGUGGCCUUGAACUGAAUGAAAAUCCAGAAGUUGGGACAGCUGACCACCCCUCCAUCGUGUUCAGUGCCAACGAACCAACAUGGAAAGAAAUCCAGGAGGUGGUAAAAAAAGCAAGAGCUGCGUCAGCACCAGGCCCCAGCGUUAUACCCUACAGGGUGUACAAGAAAUGUCCAAAUCUCCUCCGCCGCCUCUGGAAGCUGCUUAAAAGGGUCUGGAAGAAAAGGUCUGUACCACCGAUCUGGCAGAAGGCUGAAGGCUGCUUUGUUCCUAAAGAGGAAGGCUCAGUGUGUAUUGGCCAAUUCAGAACUAUCUCUUUGCUCAGCACGGAGUGUAAGAUCUUCUUCUCAGUAGUGGCAAAGAGAAUGUCAACAUACAUGAUCGAUAAUGGAUAUCUCAACACCUCAAUCCAAAAAGGAGGUAUCUCAGGCUUUGCAGGGUGCCUGGAACACUCUGGAGUCCUCAGCCAGAUGAUACAUGAGGCCAGGAUGAGGAAAGGGGACUUGACCGUAGUCUGGCUGGACCUGACCAAUGCCUUUGGAACCAUCCCUCAUGAUCUAAUCCGGACAGCCCUACGACACUACCACAUCCCAGACCAUAUCAGGGCAAUGAUCAGCACCUACCUGGGGGGAAUCCAGCUUCGCUUUAAGACAAAGAAUUUUAUCACUCAGUGGCAGCACCUUGGAAGAGGGAUUGUAACAGGGUGUACAGUAUCCCCGAUCCUAUUCAUCAUGGGCAUUAACCUUAUCAUCAAGGCAGGAGAAAAGGAAACCAGAGGCCCAAAAUGGACUCAGGAAUCCGGCAGCCCGCUCUUAGAGGUUACAUGGAUGAUCUUACAAUCACAACCUCUUCCCAUGUCCAGGCCCGGUGGGUCUUAG